rnacentral:misc_RNA from 1 species
GAUGAAGAACGCAGCGAAAUGCGAUAAGUAAUGUGAAUUGCAGAAUUCAGUGAAUCAUCGAAUCUUUGAACGCACCUUGCGCCCCUUGGUUAUUCCAAAGGGCAUGCCUGUUUGAGUAUCAUGAACACCUCAACUCUUGUGGUUUCCCACAAUGAGCUUGGACUGUGGAGGUUUUGUUGGCCCUGUGGUCAGCUCCUCUCAAAUGGAUCAGCUUACCGGUGUUUGGUGGCAUUACGGGUGUGAUAACUAUCUACGCUCGUGGUCGUCUCCAAAUAACCUCCAGUGAUGGAGGUUCGCUGGAGCUUAUAAAUGUCUCUCACCAGUGAAGACAGCCUUUGAACGUUCGAUCUCAAAUCAGGUAGGACUACCCGCUGAACUUAAGCAUAUCAAUAAGCGGAGGA